rnacentral:rRNA from 1 species
AGGACGAACGCUGGCGGCGUGCCUAACACAUGCAAGUCGUGCGGUCUCGCCUUAAGCGAAAGGCCUUCGGGCUUUGAAGCAAAGGCGAGAUAGCGGCGGACGGGUGAGUAACGCGUGGCUUAUCUGUCCCAGGGAGGGGGAUAACGUCUGGAAACGGGCGCUAAUACCCCAUAUGCCGAAAGGUGAAAAGGAGAGAUCCGCCCUGGGGUGAGGCCGCGUCCUAUCAGCUCGUUGGUGAGGUAACGGCCCACCAAGGCUAUGACGGGUAGCCGGCCUGAGAGGGCGGCUGGCCACACUGGGAUUGAGAUACGGCCCAGACUCCUACGGGAGGCAGCAGGUGGGGAAUAUUGGGCAAUGGGGGAAACCCUGACCCAGCGACGCCGCGUGGAGGAAGGAGCCCUUCGGGGUGUAAACUCCUGUUGUAAGGGAAGAAGACAGUGACGGUACCUUACGAGGAAGCCCCGGCAAACUACGUG